GACAGAGGAGGCAAGCGUUGUUCGGAAUCAUUGGGCUUAAAGGGCGUGUAGGCGGCAACGCAAGUGUCGAGUGAAAUCCCAUCGCUCAACGAUGGAACGGCUCGGCAAACUGCGUGGCUUGAGGUCGGUAGAGGUGCUCGGAACUCUAGGUGGAGCGGUGAAAUGCGUAGAUAUCUAGAGGAACGCCUGAGGCGAAAGCGGGGCACUGGGCCGUACCUGACACUAAAACGCGACAGCAUGGGGAGCGAACGGG
rnacentral:rRNA from 1 species